rnacentral:lncRNA from 1 species
CCUGCACAAAUUUGCUUGCUGGCAACCAUGUGAGAUGGGACUUUCUCCUCCUUGACUUUCGCCAUGAUUGUGAGGCCUUCCCAGCCAUGUGGAACUCUUCUUUCAUGGCAAUUUUCCCCCAGGAGGGAUUUCCCUGCAGUGGACCGCCUCCCCAGUGGUACCUUCAGCCAUCAGAACACCUCGCUUUAGAUCUGUGGGUCCCAAAUUUCAUCAAAUCCAAUGACCAUUUCUAUGAUCAUUCAUUCUGGGGGCAGCCCUCUGGCAUGUAAUGAGCAGUCCUAUGGAGAGGCCCAUGUGACAGUAGCCAUGCGAGUGACACUGGAAGUGAAACCUGCAGCUCCAGUCAAGCCUUUAGAAGACUGCAGCCCUGGCUGACAGCUUGACAGCAAACUCAUGAGAGACUCUCAGCUUGAACAACUCA